rnacentral:rRNA from 1 species
AACGAACGCUGGCGGCAGGCCUAACACAUGCAAGUCGAACGCACCGCAAGGUGAGUGGCGCACGGGUGAGUAACACGUGGGAAUGUACCCUUUGGUUCGGAAUAACGUCUGGAAACGGACGCUAAUACCGGAUGAGCCCUGCGGGGGAAAGAUUUAUCGCCAAAGGAGCAGCCCGCGUCUGAUUAGCUAGUUGGUGGGGUAAAGGCCUACCAAGGCGACGAUCAGUAGCUGGUCUGAGAGGAUGAUCAGCGACACUGGGACUGAGACACGGCCCAGACUCCUACGGGAGGCAGCAGUGGGGAAUAUUGGACAAUGGGCGAAAGCUUGAUCCAGCCAUGCCGCGUGAGUGAUGAAGGCCUUCGGGUUGUAAAGCUCUUUCGCACGCGACGAUGAUGACGGUAGCGUGAGAAGAAGCCCCGGCUAACUUCGUGCCAGCCGCCGCCGUAAAAC